rnacentral:rRNA from 1 species
GAUGAACGCUGGCGGCGUGCCUAAUACAUGCAAGUCGAGCGAACAGACGAGGAGCUUGCUCCUCUGACGUUAGCGGCGGACGGGUGAGUAACACGUGGAUAACCUACCUAUAAGACUGGGAUAACUUCGGGAAACCGGAGCUAAUACCGGAUAAUAUAUUGAACCGCAUGGUUCAAUAGUGAAAGACGGUUUUGCUGUCACUUAUAGAUGGAUCCGCGCCGCAUUAGCUAGUUGGUAAGGUAACGGCUUACCAAGGCAACGAUGCGUAGCCGACCUGAGAGGGUGAUCGGCCACCCUGGAACUGAGACACGGUCCAGACUCCUACGGGAGGCAGCAGUAGGGAAUCUUCCGCAAUGGGCGAAAGCCUGACGGAGCAACGCCGCGUGAGAGAUGAAGGUCUUCGGAUCGUAAAACUCUGUUAUUAGGGAAGAACCAAUGUGUAAGUAACUAUGCACGUCUUGACGGUACCUAAUCAGAAAGCCACGGCUAACUACGUG